CUUACCAACCCGAUGCAAACUGCGAAUACCGGAGAAUGUUAUCACGGGAGACACACGGCGGGUGCUAACGUCCGUCGUGAAGAGGGAAACAACCCAGACCGCCAGCUAAGGUCCCAAAGUCAUGGUUAAGUGGGAAACGAUGUGGGAAGGCCCAGACAGCCAGGAUGUUGGCUUAGAAGCAGCCAUCAUUUAAAGAAAGCGUAAUAGCUCACUGGUCGAGUCGGCCUGCGCGGAAGAUGUAACGGGGCUAAACCAUGCACCGAAGCUGCGGCAGCGACGCUUAUGCGUUGUUGGGUAGGGGAGCGUUCUGUAAGCCUGUGAAGGUGGCCUGUGAGGGUUGCUGGAGGUAUCAGAAGUGCGAAUGCUGACAUAAGUAACGAUAAAGCGGGUGAAAAGCCCGCUCGCCGGAAGACCAAGGGUUCCUGUCCAACGUUAAUCGGGGCAGGGUGAGUCGACCCCUAAGGCGAGGCCGAAAGGCGUAGUCGAUGGGAAACAGGUUAAUAUUCCUGUACUUGGUGUUACUGCGAAGGGGGGACGGAGAAGGCUAUGUUGGCCGGGCGACGGUUGUCCCGGUUUAAGCGUGUAGGCUGGUUUUCCAGGCAAAUCCGGAAAACCAAGGCUGAGGCGUGAUGACGAGGCACUACGGUGCUGAAGCGACAAAUGCCCUGCUUCCAGGAAAAGCCUCUAAGCAUCAGGUAACAUCAAAUCGUACCCCAAACCGACACAGGUGGUCAGGUAGAGAAUACCAAGGCGCUUGAGAGAACUCGGGUGAAGGAACUAGGCAAAAUGGUGCCGUAACUUCGGGAGAAGGCACGCUGAUAUGUAGGUGAAGCGACUUGCUCGUGGAGCUGAAAUCAGUCGAAGAUACCAGCUGGCUGCAACUGUUUAUUAAAAACACAGCACUGUGCAAACACGAAAGUGGACGUAUACGGUGUGACGCCUGCCCGGUGCCGGAAGGUUAAUUGAUGGGGUUAGCGGUAACGCGAAGCUCUUGAUCGAAGCCCCGGUAAACGGCGGCCGUAACUAUAACGGUCCUAAGGUAGCGAAAUUCCUUGUCGGGUAAGUUCCGACCUGCACGAAUGGCGUAAUGAUGGCCAGGCUGUCUCCACCCGAGACUCAGUGAAAUUGAACUCGCUGUGAAGAUGCAGUGUACCCGCGGCAAGACGGAAAGACCCCGUGAACCUUUACUAUAGCUUGACACUGAACAUUGAGCCUUGAUGUGUAGGAUAGGUGGGAGGCUUUGAAGUGUGGACGCCAGUCUGCAUGGAGCCGACCUUGAAAUACCACCCUUUAAUGUUUGAUGUUCUAACGUUGGCCCGUAAUCCGGGUUGCGGACAGUGUCUGGUGGGUAGUUUGACUGGGGCGGUCUCCUCCUAAAGAGUAACGGAGGAGCACGAAGGUUGGCUAAUCCUGGUCGGACAUCAGGAGGUUAGUGCAAUGGCAUAAGCCAGCUUGACUGCGAGCGUGACGGCGCGAGCAGGUGCGAAAGCAGGUCAUAGUGAUCCGGUGGUUCUGAAUGGAAGGGCCAUCGCUCAACGGAUAAAAGGUACUCCGGGGAUAACAGGCUGAUACCGCCCAAGAGUUCAUAUCGACGGCGGUGUUUGGCACCUCGAUGUCGGCUCAUCACAUCCUGGGGCUGAAGUAGGUCCCAAGGGUAUGGCUGUUCGCCAUUUAAAGUGGUACGCGAGCUGGGUUUAGAACGUCGUGAGACAGUUCGGUCCCUAUCUGCCGUGGGCGCUGGAGAACUGAGGGGGGCUGCUCCUAGUACGAGAGGACCGGAGUGGACGCAUCACUGGUGUUCGGGUUGUCAUGCCAAUGGCACUGCCCGGUAGCUAAAUGCGGAAGAGAUAAGUGCUGAAAGCAUCUAAGCACGAAACUUGCCCCGAGAUGAGUUCUCCCUGAGACUUAGAGUCUCCUGAAGGAACGUUGAAGACGACGACGUUGAUAGGCCGGGUGUGUAAGCGCAGCGAUGCGUUGAGCUAACCGGUACUAAUGAACCGUGAGGCUUAACCUU
rnacentral:rRNA from 1 species